UCAGGCAGAAAGCUCAAAGAAACCCCAAAUAGCCAUUCAGAAGAUGGUGGAAGGUCGUUUAAGGAAAUAUUUUGAAGACGUUGUAUUGCUUGAGCAGAAGUUUGUUAUGAAUGAUGGUGUCAAUAUCCAGUCUCUCCUAAAGGAAUUAUCAAAAGAAGUGGGCUCAUCUGUUAGGAUUGGCAAUUUUCUCAGAGUGGAAGUUGGAGAAGGAAUUCAGAGAGUUGAAGCCUCCGAUGCACCUGAUGCUGUUGCUCAGUCUGCGUAAGCUUAAAAAUUUUUAGGAUUCCUCUUAUGGUGUAGUUGCAAUACACAAGGAGGAAAUUAUAUUUUCUUUUCCGAAUCUGCAAGUUUUUUUGUUUGAUGGAACAGUCCGAUUUUCUUGCUGAUUUUGUUGACUCGAUAAAUAUAAUUUAAAAUUUUGAAUGUAAUAUUGCCAUCAAUUUCAUAAGUUGAAGAAUGCUGUAUUCUCAUUUUGUAUCUUUUUUCCUAAUAAUUUGUCAAGUGAAAUAUUUUGAUGUUACAUUA